AUCUACUUUAUUCUCUAUAUGAUUUAGGAUAAUUGUAGAAAUUUAUUUUAAAGUAAAGGCUUGGCUGGACUUGGACAAAUUGAAGUUGAGCCUUCAAUUUUACAUAAAAUGUCUUAUAUCCUUUUGCAAAAAAAAUCUUUAAACUUCAUUUUAUUAAAAUUGUACCUGUGUAAUUUUGUUUGAAACAUUUUUUUUUCACAAUUAAAUAAAACUAACUUUUUUUUGUUACAUUUUCCACAGAUAAUGUGGCAUGGCAGGCCUUGAUGUGGAUGUUGUUGACAAUAAGAUUCGAAGGCAUAUGACCGAGAGGAAGAAUUUUUGCAGGAAGAUUACCCGCAGCUGGCACCUAGUUGCACCUUACUUGGAUAAAAAAAUUUCUAUCGAUGCUGCUGGCAAAAAGAGACCUUUCCAAGACAGCACUGAACGACCUAGUAUGGUGAAGAAGUUUCGACCUGAAGAUGAUGUUGAGGCCACUGAAAGGCCAGGUAACACAGAACAACACUGUGCUUGUUGUUGCAGAAAAGCAGUUUGUCUUUUAAGGUAAUAACUUUUACAUUUUCUUUUGGCAAAUUCAUUUUUAUAGUUUCAAAACAAUUCCUUUUUAGGUGUCUCAACCCUUUUGACAUUUAUUAUAUUUAUUAACAGGGCUUUUUGGCAAGAUGUUGACUGGACCGUGGAUGACACUGAUCUACAAAAAUGAAUGAUGAAACAUCUGCAAAUGAUCUCUCAUGUGAAGGUCUGCAUUGACAAACUAAAGGCCAUUGUGGAUUCUCCAGAGAAUCUCCUUUCAAUACUAACUGAUUGCUUUGGCCAGACUCUGGAUACUGAAGAUCUCGUUCUGAAAGCCCUGAGAAAUGUGACUGUUGAUGAAGUAUUUAUCGAGAUCACUAAAGAACUUGCUGAAGGUUUUUGUAAGGUGCUACAGAGACAGUACUUCAAUUGAUAAUUUCCAACAACAAACAAAUCCAUUAUGUGCUUACCCAUCAAAUACAAAACAGAUAGGGUACACCCAAACAAUGUUCAUCUUCAAACAAUCAUGCAUGAUCCUCACAAGCUUUGGAUACUGACGUACAUUUGCAAACGCACUCAGACUGAUGACAUCAAGAAAUCUAUAUUUGUUAUUUACAUUAUAU